GUGAAAUUCCGUCGGAAUCCGGGAGGACCAUCUCCCAAGGCUAAAUACUCCCUAGUGACCGAUAGUGAACCAGUACCGUGAGGGAAAGGUGAAAAGCACCCCGGAAGGGGAGUGAAACAGUUCCUGAAACCGUGUGCCUACAAGUAGUUAGAGCCCGUUAAUGGGUGAUAGCGUGCCUUUUGUAGAAUGAACCGGCGAGUUACGAUUUGUUGCAAGGUUAAGCGGAAAAAGCGGAGCCGUAGCGAAAGCGAGUCUGAAUAGGGCGCAUAAGUAACAGGUCGUAGACCCGAAACCAGGUGAUCUACCCAUGUCCAGGAUGAAGGUAAGGUAAUACUUACUGGAGGUCCGAACCCACGCACGUUGAAAAGUGCGGGGAUGAGGUGUGGGUAGCGGAGAAAUUCCAAUCGAACUUGGAGAUAGCUGGUUCUCUCCGAAAUAGCUUUAGGGCUAGCCUCGAGGUAAAGAGUCAUGGAGGUAGAGCACUGUUUGGACUAGGGGCCCUUCUCGGGUUACCGAAUUCAGAUAAACUCCGAAUGCCAUGUACUUAUACUCGGGAGUCAGACUGCGAGUGAUAAGAUCCGUAGUCGAAAGGGAAACAGCCCAGACCACCAGUUAAGGUCCCCAAAUAUAUGUUAAGUGGAAAAGGAUGUGGGGUUGCUUAGACAACCAGGAUGUUGGCUUAGAAGCAGCCACCAUUGAAAGAGUGCGUAAUAGCUCACUGGUCGAGUGACCCCGCGCCGAAAAUGUACCGGGGCUAAACAUAUUACCGAAACUGUGGAUGAACCUCUUUAGAGGUUCGUGGUAGGAGAGCGUUCUAAGGGCGGUGAAGUCAGACCGGAAGGACUGGUGGAGCGCUUAGAAGUGAGAAUGCCGGUAUGAGUAGCGAAAGAAGGGUGAGAAUCCCUUCCACCGAAUAUCUAAGGUUUCCUGAGGAAGGCUCGUCCGCUCAGGGUUAGUCGGGACCUAAGCCGAGGCCGAUAGGCGUAGGCGAUGGACAACAGGUAGAGAUUCCUGUACCAGUGCUAAUUGUUUAACCGAUG
rnacentral:rRNA from 1 species